rnacentral:rRNA from 1 species
ACGGCGAAACUGCGAAUGGGCAAUCAUUAAAACCGUUAUAGUUUAUUUGAUAGUCCUAUCUAAUGAAAAUCUACUACAUGGAUAACCGUGGUAAUUCGAUGGCUAACUCAUGCGCAAAUAUCCUUUUUCUCUAGAAAUGAAAGAUACUGUGUCUUACAUACAGAACCAAUACACCAUCUGUUAACAGCAGGUGGUGUAAAAAAUGUGAUUCAUAUUAACCGAACGGAUCUCAUUAUGGUCAUUUUAUAUGGGUGGCGAUAGAUCCUUCCAGUUUCUGACCUAUCAACUUUCAACGGUGGUGUAUUGGACUACCGGGACACUGACAGGUAACGGGGAAUUAGGGUUCGAUUCCGGAGAGGGAGCCUGACAAACGGCUACCACAUCUAAGGAAGGCAACAAGCGCGCAAAUUACCCAAUCCUGACUCAUGGAGGUAGUGACAAGAAAUAACAACUCUGGAAAUUUUAUUUCUAUGGAUUGGAAUGAUGGGAAUUUAAACCCCUUUCAUAGUAACAAUUGGAGGGCAAGUCUGGUGCCAUCCGCCGCGGUAAUUCCAACUCCAAUAUCGUAUAUUAAAGUUGUUGCCGUUAAAAAGCUCGUAGUUGGAUGUCUGCUGGAAGCAAUCAUGCCGCCCUAUUUGUAGGGUGUGCACUUGAUGAAUUAUGGCAUCUAUGUCCCAAUAAUAUGAUGGAGUGUACCCUGUGUACACCCAUCUAUAUACGUUAUAAUGCCGUUACUUUGAGAAGAUUAGAGUGUCUGAAGCGUGCUAAUUGCCUUGAAUACUGCUGAAUGGAAUAACUAUAUAGGAUUUCCGUUCUAUUUUGUUGGUAUCUAGGACUGAAAUAUUGAUUAAUAAGGACCUUUGGGGGCAUUCGUUUUUCUAAACUGUCAGAGGUGAAAUUCUUAGAUUUGUUAAAAACUAACUACUGCGAAACCAUUUCAACAA